rnacentral:rRNA from 1 species
GACGAACGCUGGCGGCGUGCCUAAUACAUGCAAGUAGAACGCUGAAGAGAGGAGCUUGCUCUUCUUGGAUGAGUUGCGAACGGGUGAGUAACGCGUAGGUAACCUGCCUUGUAGCGGGGGAUAACUAUUGGAAACGAUAGCUAAUACCGCAUAACAAUGGAUGACACAUGUCAUUUAUUUGAAAGGGGCAAUUGCUCCACUACAAGAUGGACCUGCGUUGUAUUAGCUAGUAGGUGAGGUAACGGCUCACCUAGGCGACGAUACAUAGCCGACCUGAGAGGGUGAUCGGCCACACUGGGACUGAGACACGGCCCAGACUCCUACGGGAGGCAGCAGUAGGGAAUCUUAGGCAAUGGGGGCAACCCUGACCGAGCAACGCCGCGUGAGUGAAGAAGGUUUUCGGAUCGUAAAGCUCUGUUGUAAGUCAAGAACGAGUGUGAGAGUGGAAAGUUCACACUGUGACGGUAGCUUACCAGAAAGGGACGGCUAACUACGUG